AUGGCGGGAGGAGAGGAGGUGAAGCUGCUGGGGAACUGGGCGAGCCCGUACGUGGCCAGGGACUUCGCCGACAAGAGCGACCUGCUCCUCCGCUCCAACCCCGUCCACAAGGCGGUGCCGGUGCUCAUCCACGGCGGCAAGCCCGUCUGCGAGUCCCGGGUCAUCGUGCAGUACGUCGACGAGGCCUUCUGUGACACCCGCCCGCCCCUACUCCCCGCCGACCCCCGCGAGCGCGCCGCCGCCCGCUUCUGGGCCGCCUUCGUGGACGACGAGCUGCUGGCGCCGUGGGGGAUGGUCAUGCGGUCGGGCACGGACGAGGAGAGGGCGGAAUGGACGCGGCGGACCGUCGCGGCGGUGGAUACGCUGGAGGGGGCCCUGGGGGAGCGCUCCGAGGGGUUCUUCGGCGGUGACCGCGUCGGGUACGUCGACGUCCUGCUCGGCGGCAUGGUCCCGUGGGUGCGCGUCACCGAGAGGCUCUCCGGCCACAACUUCUUUGAUGCCAGCAAGGCGCCGCUGCUGGCGGCGUGGAUGGAGUGCUUCGGCGAGCUGGACGCCGCCAGGGCCGUCUUCCAGGACGUCGACAGGCUAGUUGAGUACGCCGGGACGAUCCAGGCACGGCUUGCCGCCGAGGCUGGAACUGCCAGCAACUGA
rnacentral:rRNA from 1 species